AGCUAAUACAUGCGAAAAUCCCCGACUCACGGAGGGGAGCUUUUAUUAGAUCAAAACCAGACGGCUUCGGCCGUAUCUCUGGCGACUCUGAAUAACUUUGGGCUGAUCGUAUUUGCCUCGUGCAGACGACGUUUCCUUCGAAGGUGUGCCCUAUCAACUGUCGACUGUGAUAUAGACGCUCACAGUGGUUUUGACGGGUAACGGGGAAUCAGGGUUCGAUUCCGGAGAGGGAGCCUUAAAAACGGCUACCACAUCCAAGGAAGGCAGCAGGCACGCAAAUUACCCAACGACCGAAGGUCGAGGUAGUGACGAAAAAUAACGAUACCGGACUCAUCCGAGGCCCGGUAAUUGGAAUGA
rnacentral:rRNA from 1 species